GCAGUGCAACGGUUGAGCACGCACUCCCGGAAAGAGUGAGAUCUGGGUUCGAGUCCCAGCUGACGCA